rnacentral:rRNA from 1 species
UACGUAGGGGGCUAGCGUUGUCCGGAUUUAUUGGGCGUAAAGAGCGUGUAGGCGGCCAGGUAGGUCUGCUGUGAAAACUCGAGGCUCAACCUCGAGACGUCGGCGGAAACCAUCUGGCUAGAGUCCGGAAGAGGAGAGUGGAAUUCCUGGUGUAGCGGUGAAAUGCGCAGAUAUCAGGAAGAACACCCGUGGCGAAGGCGGCUCUCUGGGGACGGUACUGAGCUGAGACGCGAAAAGCUAGGGGGAGCGAAACGGGG